AAUCAACGCUGGCGGCGUGCCUCAGACAUGCAAGUCGAACGAUUAAAGCUCUCUUCGGAGAGUGUAUAGAGUGGCGCACGGGUGAGUAACACGUAAGUAACCUACCUUUGAGUGGGGAAUAACAAUCGGAAACGAUUGCUAAUACCGCAUAAUGCAGCGGCAUCGCAAGAUGACAGUUGUUAAAGGAGCAAUCCGCUUAAAGAGGAGCUUGCGGCAGAUUAGCUAGUUGGUAAGGUAAUGGCUUACCAAGGCUACGAUCUGUAACCGGUCUAAGAGGACGGUCGGUCACACUGACACUGAAUAACGGGUCAGACUCCUACGGGAGGCAGCAGUCGGGAAUUUUGGGCAAUGGGCGAAAGACCUGACCCAGCAACGCCGCGUGAAGGAUGAAGUAUUUCGGUAUGUAAACUUCGAAAGAAUGGGAAGAAUCAAUGACGGUACCAUUUAUAAGGUCCGGCUAACUACGUGCC
rnacentral:rRNA from 1 species